GGAUUAACAUUUGGUAUUAUCAUAAUAGAAAACUGGUCUACUGGUCUCACUAGCGCUACUAUCCUGUCACUGACAACGGGAACACAUGUGCAGUGAUUGUGAGAGUAAGCCCAGAUGGUGGCUGGAGCCAGGUAGCUCAGAAGAAGAAUUAAUCUGGAAGCAGGUCGAGGAGGUCAUCAACCCUCCAAGAGCAUUUUUGUUCUUUGAGUCCCGGAAAUGGAUUUGGCAUGUUGCCUACCUUGUGUAUUAUAUUGUUUACAAACUAAUGUGUGUAUUUUUAUUACUGUAGUAUUCUUGUCAUUUUGUGAGCAGGAAGCUGUGAGUAGGGGAAUUUCUAUUAAAUUUUGACCAGUCUGUGAACAUUUAGUCUACCUGACAGCCAAGCUUUUACCUAAGAAACUGUCUCUGUCUGUGGUUUCAAAUAUACACAGGCAUUAUGUCAGAGAAUGUUAAAUAUUUCCAUUUAUUGAUUUUAAAAUAUACGUAUUUAUAAACUUAGCAUCCAACUCCAUUUGAUACAAUGUUAAGAAACAUGCACCCAAACCUACCAGCUUCAGUCUUUAAUAAGCCAAACUGCUGGAAAAACAGAAAUCAAAAAAAAAAAAAAAAAAAAAAGUAAACAGACAAAAAGCCAAUCCUACUUCUAAGAAGUACUACUUUUACGAAUAUUAUCUUGUGCCCCUCGGAUGGAAGUCCAGGAAAAGGUAGGCUUUGUAUUGACUGUUAAAUACUAGUGACAUACCUACACACAAAUAGGGAAGAAAGUUUCCAGUGACUUCAUAUAGAGAGAUUUCUAAAAUUAAGAAGUCAGUAGUGUGAACUCACCUGAAAGUACUGUGUAUGUUCCAGUGUUGAUGAGAUCCAGCAUGUAAGAGAAAUGUGUUUUGGAUAUGUCAUUCAUCCAUUUAAAUGCUGGCAAACGCCAACAAAAUGACCCAAUGGAAAUAAUAUAAAUACUCCUCCAAGUGUUCCAGAUGAGAGGUGUCACAUUGCUUAACCCAGCAAGAGUAACAGCCACAUCGUGUCAGACUGAACACCAGCUGAAUUCUCCCUCCUGGCUUCACAGAGGCCCACAGCAGCUGCCUGAGGGAAGGCAUAGCAACAGGAUAACUGUGCCCACAGUAGCUGACAAAUCGCCAACAGUUUGCAGUUCAAGGACUGUUUGGUCGUGGAGUGUUUUUUGUUGCUGUUUUUGGCCAAAAAGCUCUGGAAUGUCAAACUCUAGCAGGAGGAAGACCCCCUCACCCAACCACCACCAAACAUCACAGUGGUGGAAGAUGCCUGGAGACUGUUUCCUCUGCCAUUUGUCCAGCUCCAGUGUGUGCUGGCUAGCAGCACAGGGAGACAUGACAUUGAAGAAUUUGUGUGUCAAUGACUGUGGCUGACCAUUGUAUGUCAGAUGACAGAACAAAAGAAAAAGUGUGAACACACAAAACUACUUCAGAUUUCUUUACAUUUGCUGAAGAAGCUCUUGCUUCAAAAUCUGAUGCUGAAUUUUGACUGUCAAAGAUGGAAUAACACCACUUAAGUCAAUACAUGAAAGGAGACUUACAAUGGUCAGGUGUGGUUUUUUGAGACGAAUAGAAUUGAUUAGCAGUUAUAGUUCAUAAUUUGUGACUGUUUUUGCAAUAUCACAAAUGUGGAACUCCAAAGUCUUGAGGUAGUGAUACACCUCUGGACCAGAGGGUAGAGGGAAUUUUAUUUGUCAAUUUAAGCAUUGUGUGACAUCUCUGAAAUCUAUCUCUGAAAUCUCAAUCUAAUUAAUUCAUUUUUUUAAGUAAUUUAUAAUGAAAACAAAUAUAGUCUCAGUACAAUGGUAUAACUCUGUUUUAGGCGUUCCCCACUUCUGUGUAUCCCUCUGAUGUGCGUAGUAUCUACUUUUGAGUCUCCUCAUGUUUGUGUGCUAAUAGCUACUGCAAUCUAAUAGCUAAUCUUGGUAUAAACUGUUCCCUUGCAGCUACAGCAACAGCUACGGAAUCACUCAGCAAUACAGAGGUGCUCACAAUAGGAACUAUUUAUUCACAUAAGGCAGAUUCACAGUCUGAGGUUUUAAGCACUUCAGGAAAUAGACUGUGAUCUAAUUUUUCAAAUACCUGUGUAACUGUUAAAUUGAAUGAAAAUUUUCCUUGUUUGUACUAGUGGGGGAUGAUACUAUUCUCCAUCAUUCUGUUCAGAAAAUGCCUUAAAGUCUCCAGCUAUAUUGUGUAUUGUUUCCAUGACAUAAAUUGCAUCAAGGUGCAGCUUAUUAGGCAAGAUUUUUAAAAUAAACGAGUCCCCUUUUAUUUGACUAGAUCCUUG
rnacentral:lncRNA from 1 species